CCAGCAUCCCCUUUUUUUUCCAGACAAAGGGGAUGAGGCCUGGUCUUGUGGAGACUGGACUUAGCUUCGCCGGGCUGACCGCUCUGGCCCAGGGUGGUAUGUAAU
ensembl:misc_RNA Gm55525 predicted gene, 28006